rnacentral:rRNA from 1 species
AUUGAACGCUGGCGGCAGGCCUAACACAUGCAAGUCGAGCGAGCGGCGGACGGGUGAGUAAUGUAUGGGGACUGCCCGAUAGAGGGGGAUAACUACUGGAAACGGUAGCUAAUACCGCAUACUAUCGGAUAACCCAUAUGGGAUUAGCUAGUAGGUGAGGUAAUGGCUCACCUAGGCAACGAUCCGUAGCUGGUUUGAGAGGAGGACCAGCAACACUGGGACUGCGACACGGUCCAGACUCCUACGGAGGCAGCAGUGAGGAAGUUUGGACAAUGGGGGAAAGCCUGAGCCAGCCAUCCCGCGUGUAUGAUGAAGGCCGUCGGGUUGUAAAGUACUUUUGGCAGAGAAGCGGUAUCUGCAGAAUAAGCACCGGCUAACUACGUGCCAGCAGCCGCGGUAAUUC